GAUGAACGCUGGCGGCGUGCCUAACACAUGCAAGUCGAGCGAAGCGCUUAAAUUAGAUUUCUUCGGAAUGACGAUUUUUGUGACUGAGCGGCGGACGGGUGAGUAACGCGUGGGUAACCUGCCUCAUACAGGGGGAUAACAGUUAGAAAUGACUGCUAAUACCGCAUAAGACCCCAGCUUCGCAUGAAGCGGUGUAAAAACUCCGGUGGUAUGAGAUGGACCCGCGUCUGAUUAGCUAGUUGGUAAGGUAACGGCUUACCAAGGCGACGAUCAGUAGCCGACCUGAGAGGGUGACCGGCCACAUUGGGACUGAGACACGGCCCAGACUCCUACGGGAGGCAGCAGUGGGGAAUAUUGCACAAUGGGGGAAACCCUGAUGCAGCGACGCCGCGUGAAGGAUGAAGUAUUUCGGUAUGUAAACUUCUAUCAGCAGGGAAGAAAGUGACGGUACCUGACUAAGAAGCCCCGGCUAACUACGUG
rnacentral:rRNA from 1 species